GGGCUAUUAGCUCAGUGGUAGAGCGCGCCCCUGAUAAUUCAAGUCCAGGAUGGCCCA
rnacentral:tRNA from 1 species